rnacentral:hammerhead_ribozyme from 1 species
GCACUGCUGAUGAGUCCCAAACGGGACGAAACGGCUGUUCAGUGC